rnacentral:rRNA from 1 species
CAAGGCCUUGCGCGAUAGGAUGAGCCGACGCCCGAUUAGCUAGUUGGUAGGGUAAAGGCCUACCAAGGCGACGAUCGGUAGCUGGUCUGAGAGGAUGAUCAGCCACACUGGGACUGAGACACGGCCCAGACUCCUACGGGAGGCAGCAGUGGGGAAUAUUGGACAAUGGGCGCAAGCCUGAUCCAGCAAUGCCGCGUGUGUGAAGAAGGCCUGCGGGUUGUAAAGCACUUUUGUUCGGGAAGAAAACGGAUCGGUUAAUACCCGGUUCGGAUGACGGUACCGAAAGAAUAAGCACCGGCUAACUUCGUGCCAGCAGCCGCGGUAAUACGAAGGGUGCAAGCGUUAAUCGGAAUUACUGGGCGUAAAGCGUGCGUAGGCGGCUUUUUAAGUCGGAUGUGAAAUCCCGGGCUCAACCUGGGAAUGGCAUCCGAUACUGGGGAGCUAGAGUUUGGGAGAGGGGUGGUGGAAUUCCCGGUGUAGCGGUGAAAUGCGUAGAGAUCGGGAGGAACAUCAGUGGCGAAGGCGGCCA